UAAUGAGAGUAUUUCUCCCAGCAGAACUUGCUCUGAAGGUACACUUGGUUCAACAGAAGAAAAAAAGCCCAUUGUUGUCACCAUCUCAAAUCUGUUGGGUAGAUACCACAGCCAAGUCUUGGCGUGACCCCCCUGUCUGCAGUUAGCAGAGCUGUCAUGCUGUGUGGUGGCGGAAUGAUCUCCAGAUUUCAUGUUAUGCCAGUGAAGCACAGGAAAAACUGGACUCCUAGAAACCACCACAAAGUAAUCACUCUCCCAUCUCUGCUUGGUACCUUUGAUUCUUCCACAAGCACAUCUCAGGCAGCCAAAAAGAUUGUGUUGAAUUUUAUGUUCUGUGGGUUUGUUUCCAAAAUAGUAGAUAUGGAGUCUGCAACCUCCCCCAUGAGAAGAACAUGUUUUGGGAAGAAUGGGAGUCAUAUGGAAGUGACUUGAACCCAACUCUCAGCCUGGAGUCAGGCUCAGUGUAGAGAAGCUGAACCCUAGACAACCUGUAGAUGCAUGAGUAAGAAAUAAAGACUUGUCACGAGGUUUUAA